GUACUUUAGAGUAGUUGUCAGUCUUACAUGAAAUCCUUCAAAAUAUAAUUUAUUUAGGACUGUUAAAUAUCAAGGAAUAAGCAAGUUUUUAUUCUUAACACACACAAAAACCACAACUUUACAUAAGAAAUUAUUAAUAUCUUGUUUAUCACAUUAUUUUAUCAUAAGAAUAUUAGCCAUGACUUCUAUUGUAGGGUCAUUUUAAUCGGUCACUUAUGAAGGUUUAUUUAUUUUGUUAUGGGCAUUAUAGACCAGCUGAUCUAGAAUUAUGUAUACAAUAGAUGACUAGCCUUAAGUGACUUAAGUCUAAGCUCAAGCUUGAGUGUUGCCUUCCAUCUGCGCGAGCGAUUUCAUCGCGCAGAUACCGCUUAUGAUCUGCCCCGGCGUGUAACUCCGCCUCACGGCUCGCGAGCUCCUCCAUUUGCUCCUUCCGUACGCUCAGGCCGUUGAGUUUGCAACUGAAGCAGCAUUCCUUCUUCUCUCUGGGCUGGUUUCCGCACUUAAACGUUUCCGUCUGUUGUGCGAAUGAAGCACCAUUAUCGUCGAGUAUUGCGUGUGAGUUAUGCGUGCUAUCACGUGUGUAAUUCGUUUGACACAUUGCAGUAUGGACAAAUAGACCUGAUAACCUAGCAUUCAGUAUACAAUAAAUGACUAUUGACAAGCCUUAAGUAACUUAAGUUUAAGCCCAAGCUUGAGUGUUGCCUUCCCUCUGAGCGCGAGCGAUUUCCCCGCGCAAGAGUCGCUCGUGUGUAGCCGCGGCGCGUAACUCCGCCUCACGGUUCGCGAGCUCCUCCAUUUGCUCCUUCCGUACGCUCAGGCCGUUGAGUUGCGAUUGAAGCGCAUUUAUCAUUGAGUAUUGCUUGCCAGUUAAACUCUGCUCCACGGCUCACAAGCUCUUCCAUUUGCUCUAUCUGUACGCGUAAGCCGUUAAGAAGCGCAUUUAUUAUUCAGCUUGCAAGUUAUUCAUUGAAAUAACUAGUUGAUGCCCGCGACUUCGUCCCCGUGAAUUUAGAUUUUUAAUUAUCCCGUGGGGACUCUUUGAU